rnacentral:rRNA from 1 species
GAUGAACGCUGGCGGCGUGCCUAAUACAUGCAAGUCGAGCGAACAGACGAGGAGCUUGCUCCUCUGACGUUAGCGGCGGACGGGUGAGUAACACGUGGAUAACCUACCUAUAAGACUGGGAUAACUUCGGGAAACCGGAGCUAAUACCGGAUAACAUUUUGAACCGCAUGGUUCAACAGUGAAAGACGGUUUUGCUGUCACUUAUAGAUGGAUCCGCGCCGCAUUAGCUAGUUGGUAAGGUAACGGCUUACCAAGGCAACGAUGCGUAGCCGACCUGAGAGGGUGAUCGGCCACACUGGAACUGAGACACGGUCCAGACUCCUACGGGAGGCAGCAGUAGGGAAUCUUCCGCAAUGGGCGAAAGCCUGACGGAGCAACGCCGCGUGAGUGAAGAAGGUCUUCGGAUCGUAAAACUCUGUUAUUAGGGAAGAACAAAUGUGUAAGUAACUAUGCACGUCUUGACGGUACCUAAUCAGAAAGCCACGGCUAACUACGUG